rnacentral:rRNA from 1 species
GAUGAACGCUGGCGGCGUGCCUAAUACAUGCAAGUCGAGCGAAUGGAUUAAGAGCUUGCUCUUAUGAAGUUAGCGGCGGACGGGUGAGUAACACGUGGGUAACCUGCCCAUAAGACUGGGAUAACUCCGGGAAACCGGGGCUAAUACCGGAUAACAUUUUGAACCGCAUGGUUCGAAAUUGAAAGGCGGCUUCGGCUGUCACUUAUGGAUGGACCCGCGUCGCAUUAGCUAGUUGGUAAGGUAACGGCUCACCAAGGCAACGAUGCGUAGCCGACCUGGGAGGGUGAUCGGCCACACUGGGACUGAGACACGGCCCAGACUCCUACGGGAGGCAGCAGUAGGGAAUCUUCCGCAAUGGACGAAAGUCUGACGGAGCAACGCCGCGUAAGUGAUGAAGGCUUUCGGGUCGUAAAACUCUGUUGUUAGGGAAGAACAAGUGCUAGUUGAAUAAGCUGGCACCUUGACGGUACCUAACCAGAAAGCCACGGCUAACUACGUGCCAGCAGCCGCAGUAA